AAAGGUGAUUUAGUGCUUCCUGCUGUCCUGUCUGUCGUGACUCGAGUUUUCCUAUACAGCUUUCAAUGACGACCGCGUCCGGUGUCCCAAUUUGAACUUUCAAAUCUGUCACCAGUACUUUGUUUUCCUGUAUACAGAGCCAAAAACCCACAUCUCUUUUGUUCAAGUCUCAAAAAGAAUGAUUAAACCAGCAAUAGUGAUGGAAUUUUAAAUUUGCCGCUGAAAAAUGCGGCGGGAAGUUUGAAAUGAAUUCGCUUUUGGUGAUUCUUGGAAGAGGUAAGAUUUUUCAUGUCAUAAAUAUGGGUACGACUAAGAAAAAAACAAAAGUGAAUAACUGAAGCAGAAAAAAUAAAAAUAAAUCUGUAAAUCUAUAUGACAGUAGCUCUAAGGCUCCAAAGAAGGCUGCAGUUUUAGUUAGUACUUCCAAAAAGGUGUUUAAAAAAACCUAUACGAAUAAAUUAUUUGGCUGAUGAUGUAGUCAAUGCUUUGAAAGCUUUUGAUACAGGUCUUUCAUUGAGAAAAUCUGCUGCUGUCUACGGAGUGCCCAUAUCUACGCUUUCCAGAAAAAAGCAACCCUGAAACAUCAAAACGAAAAAAUGGACCUGCAACAGUUUUUUCUCAAACUGAAGAACAAAAAAUAGCCGACUUGAUACUUUUUAGAGCUCAGCGUGGUUCACCAGUUACAAAAAGAGAGUUAUUAGAUUCUAUUCAGCAAUAUGUGAAACUAUCAAAGAAAGAGACUCCGUUUAUUGAUGACCGACCAAAUAUUCAUUGGUAUGAGGGCUUUAGACAGCGAUAUCCUCAGUUGUCAAGCAGGAAACCACAACAUUUAACCCUGAGUAGAACAGCAGUCACAUGUGAUGACCUAAAAGAUUGGUUCGACGAACAAAAAAAGUAUUUAACUCAAAAAAUGUAAUAAAUUGUCCUCCUGAGAGAAUUUUUAAUUGUGACGAGACAUAUGUAAUUUUAUGUCCUCCAUCAGAGAAAGUUCUACUAGGUCAAGAAUCUCAUAGUUACGAAUUGCCCCGUAGGUUGGGGCAUUGGUCUUUCAGAUAAUGACUGGAUGACUUCUGAGUCAUUCUAUGAAUAUAUAACAAAUAUAUUCUAUCCAUGGUCAGUUAACCAAGAGACUCAGUUUCCAAUUGUUUUAUUCUUGGAUAAUCAUUCAUCCCACAUUACUUUGCCUCUAGUCUCAUUCUGUCGAGAAAAAGGUAUCGAGUUGAUUGGCCUCGUUCCUAACUCAACCCACAUAAUGCAACCACUCGAUAUUAGCUUUUUUCAACCGUUUAAAGAAACGUGGAAGAAAGCGGUACCAAGAUGAAAAAUUCAAAGGGUAUUGUGCGAAUAAAGAAGGAAGACUUCCCGUCAGUUCUCAAGCUUGCUUUGGAUAGUAUGAAAGAAGAAAAAAACGCUGUUAUCAAUGGAUUCAAAACUGCAGGAUUGUAUCCAUUCGACCCUGCUGCCAUUGAUUAUGAUUUGUUCAAUAAAAGGAAGAAAAGUAAAACAGCUGUUGCUGAACAGAAAAUGCAAGAUGAAUUUACAGAAGGCAAACAAAAACAUUGAUUAACUUUUGAAAACAAUCUUUCAAAGGAUCUUCUGAAAGACUUUAGGAGUGCUUGGUUAAAUAAGACAUGGCCUAAAGAUCUACAAAUGAGAGGCUUGUUCGAAUACUGGCUUGAUAUCAGUGGAAGACCUGAAGUUAAUACUGAUUCUGGGAAUCCUCUUGACAACGCUUUUACACUUCCAACAAAUUAUUUACCAAAGGAAAAAAGAAUAAAAGUAGAAUCGUCAGGUAAACCACAAUUAUCUUCUGUUGGGGCAUCCGAUCAAUGGAUGCAAUACCAUAUAAAAAAGAAGAUAAACGAAAAUUAAAAGAAGGGAAAUUACAACAACAAAAAAGUUACAAGAAAAGAAGAAAAUUUUAGCUGAAGAAAAGAAAAAACUGCAAGAUAAAAUGAGAGAAAUGCAGAAGAAGAUUAAAGAAGAAAAAAAAUAGUACAAGUUAUAAAUUUUAAAUAUAUGUUGUCUUCAGUGAUUAUUUAUCCAAAGAUUUGAAACUGUUCUUGUCAUGCUGUUUAAUAUGUCAGUGUUUAUUUAUUGUUGGUUGAUUCUUUUAAUCCCUAA